UGUGUGCAUAUGUCUAUGUAAGUAUAUGCGGGGGUGGGGGGGUGGGCAAGGAAUGCCUUGGAGGACUGGUGGAGUCAUAGGCAGUUGUGACUCUUGUGGGAGCUGGGACCUGAACUGGGGUUCUCUUGAAGGCAGAACAAGCUCUCUGUUCAGCAUUGAGCCAUCUCUCCAUCCCCUGGGAAAGAUAUCUUGAAUGGUUUCCUGAGGUGUAGAGAGCUAGCAGCCCCUUGUAAGUCUGGUCACGCUGCACAGAUCUGGGUUGUUCCCCUGGUCCCGUGAACCCAUUAGCGUCCGUCCGAGCCAUUAGGGACUCGCCACCAACACACGUGGACAGCAGCAGCAGCAGCAGUGGCCGCUGGAGCAAAGACUACGAUGUCUGCGUGUGCCACAGUGAGGAGGACUUGGAGGCGGCCCAGGAGCUGGUCUCCUACUUGGAGGGUAGCCAGGCCAGUCUACGCUGCUUCCUGCAGCUUCGGGAUGCAGCCCCGGGUGGCGCCAUUGUUUCGGAGCUAUGCCAGGCACUGAGUCGUAGUCACUGCCGUGUGCUGCUCAUCACUCCAGGCUUCCUUCGGGACCCCUGGUGCAAGUACCAGAUGCUGCAGGCCCUGACGGAGGCCCCGGCGUCGGAGGGUUGCACCAUACCCCUGCUGUCCGGCCUGUCCAGAGCCGCCUAUCCGCCGGAACUCCGAUUCAUGUACUAUGUGGAUGGCAGAGGCAAGGACGGAGGCUUUUACCAAGUCAAGGAGGCUGUUAUACACGUUCUCCGGCUUUAGAGUACAAAAAGUGCUCAGGGAGUCUGCGCGGGACAAAAUU
rnacentral:antisense_RNA from 1 species